rnacentral:piRNA from 1 species
UCCCAUGUGGAGGGACUUGGA